CCCCUCUCAGGAUUGCACCUGGAGAGUUUCCAAUACUCUACCAGUCUCGGCUAUGGGGGGAAGAGUCAAGCAGAGGUGUAUCCAUUCCAUUCCUAGCUAGGGCAGGGACGAGCGAGUGGAAGGCAAUCUGCAACAAGU